AAGAGAUCAAAUGACACAGAAUUUAACAACUAUAUUUCACCGUACGGCCUUCAACAAUGAGCAAAGCCCAUACCGCAUAGUCAGCUACAAAGGGCCCCAAAAUGACAAUGAAAAAACAAUUCAAACGAGAAAACUAAAGGCUUAAUUUAUGUACCAAAACAUUAACGAAAAACAAAUAUGUUACACAUAAACAAACGACAACCACUGAAUUAAAGGCUCCUGACUUAAGACAGACACACACAUACAGAAUGUGGCGGGGUUAAACAUGUUAACUGGGUCACAACCCUCCCCCUAACCUGGGACAGUGGUAUAACAGUACAAUAUAAGAACGAACUAUAAAACUCAGUUGAAAAAGGCUUAACUCAUCAGAUGGAUAAAAAUACAAAUACUACAAAAAAACAAGUAGACGUGACCGGGUACUUGUACAUUCCAACAACAAAAACACUAAGAACAGAUAUGAAAGUACUCGCAGUUACUGACAGCUAGUUCAAACCCACUAACAACUAAUAAAAAAAUCAUGUAUCUAAGACUACAUUAUCAAUCCGUACAUAUCCAAAAUCCAAUGGAUUUAGUGUAAAGACGUCAAAAACAGUCAGAGAAAAACAUGACCUUGUGCAAUGCCAAGAUACAGGUAUCGGCAGAUUGUAGAUCCAUGAAUGUGUAUAUGUAUAUAUAACAAUAUUCAAAGAUCUAAUUACAUUGUUGAAUUGAUAACCUUUUAGAAUAAGUUGUGAAAUAUAAACACCGUAAGCUGGUGCCAAAGCAACAUCACCAUCCAAAAUGGG
rnacentral:lncRNA from 1 species